UACGGAGGGUGCAAGCGUUGUUCGGAAUUAUUGGGCGUAAAGCGCGCGCAGGCGGCUUGUUAAGUCCGAUGUGAAAGCCCAGGGCUCAACCUUGGAUGUGCAUUGGAAACUGGCAAGCUUGAGUAUGUGAGGGGUCAGUGGAAUUCCUGGUGUAGGAGUGAAAUCCGUAGAGAUCAGGAGGAACACCAGUGGCGAAGGCGACUGACUGGAACAUCACUGACGCUGAGGCGCGAAAGCGUGGGUAGCAAACAGG
rnacentral:rRNA from 1 species